AAGUGGACAAUUAUGAAGAUAAUAAUCCACUACAACAUAAUUAGGUUAUAGAGACACAUGUUUGUGACACUUUUGAGUAAAUAUCUCAUUUAUGCUAAAACUUAAAAAAAAACAUCUACUAAUGCCUAAAUAUAAAGCCCAAUCCAACGAAAAAUAAAAGAUUACUCUAUUCAACCCACCACACCCAGUCCAUUUGGCCCGAUUACAAACAGAAAAGAAAAAAAAAGAAAAAUCAAUUACCAUCUUUUCUUCUCUCUUCACUUAAUCCACUGAAAUUCUAGACGAAGAGCCUUUCCUGUCGUCCUCCUCCGCCAUCGCAGCCAACGAGAUAGAAUUUCGGCGGUUGCUAAAUGCUUAAAUAAGUGUUGGUAAAUUAGCAGCACUUUUUUAGAUUAUAGCAACACUCUUUAACUGUCACUAUAUAUACCUAGCGACCCCACAUAUAGCAACACUUUUUAAAAGUGUCGGUAAUUUUAGCUAGUAAUAUUUUUUUGACAUGUACCUAUAUUUAAAAGUGUCGUUAUAGACCGUUUUUACUGUAGUGAUCUUAUUCGGUCCAAUAGAAGUAAUUAAUGAAGCUUUGGA
rnacentral:lncRNA from 1 species